GACGAACGCUGGCGGCGUGCCUAAUACAUGCAAGUCGAGCGGACGGAUGGGAGCUUGCUCCCAGACCGUCAGCGGCGGACGGGUGAGUAACACGUGGGCAACCUGCCUGUAAGACUGGGAUAACUCCGGGAAACCGGGGCUAAUACCGGAUAACUCUUUCCCUCACAUGAGGGAAAGCUGAAAGAUGGCAUCUCGCUAUCACUUACAGAUGGGCCCGCGGCGCAUUAGCUAGUUGGUGAGGUAACGGCUCACCAAGGCGACGAUGCGUAGCCGACCUGAGAGGGUGAUCGGCCACACUGGGACUGAGACACGUCCCAGACUCCUACGGGAGGCAGCAGUAGGGAAUCUUCCGCAAUGGACGAAAGUCUGACGGAGCAACGCCGCGUGAGUGAUGAAGGUUUUCGGAUCGUAAAACUCUGUUGUCAGGGAAGAACAAGUACCGGAGUAACUGCCGGUACCUUGACGGUACCUGACCAGAAAGCCACGGCUAACUACGUG
rnacentral:rRNA from 1 species